UACGUAGGGUGCAAGCGUUAAUCGGAAUUACUGGGCGUAAAGCGUACGCAGGCGGCUUUGCAAGACAGGUGUGAAAUCCCCGGGCCUAACCUGGGAACUGCAUUUGUGACUGCAUGGCUAGAGUUUGUCAGAGGGGGGUGGAAUUCCACGUGUAGCAGUGAAAUGCGUAGAUAUGUGGAGGAACACCGAUGGCGAAGGCAGCCCCCUGGGAUGUGACUGACGCUGAGACGCGAAAGCGCGGGGAGCGAACGGG
rnacentral:rRNA from 1 species